rnacentral:lncRNA from 1 species
CUGGUUUCUAACGGGUUAAAUCCCCCAGGUUGAGUGGCGAGGCUGCGCUGUGUGCACGUGAGAUGCCCGGGAACGACGCACCGAGUGGGAGCCUUGGGCCCUUCCUUCAGCUCCAGCGUCUCUAAGAGAAUGACUAGGUUUUCUCAGAGCUUCAUAUCUCGGGGAGAGCCCUGUCUCUGCCUUUUCUGGGACAUUUCUCUGCUAAGUCCCUCUGUUCUGGCCUUGUCUGGCUCCUGGGGCCCCUCAGGCUGCACAACUGUCCCCCCACCCACCCCAACAGGCUGCAAGCGGCUUUGUAGUUCUCAUGAGGACAGUGGCUUCAGUUUUCACACUGCCCACGCCUUCAGCCUUCAUCAUUGUGGUUGCUUCUGUUCAGAAUGACCCAGCAUGGGGCGGGGUGGGGGGGCUGAGCCUGCUGCUGGUGGCUCAGGAGCAGGCACAGCAGGGUGGCUGCACAUGCUCUGGAGAGCAAGAGGGCUUGGGUUCAAGCGCCAGCCCCACCACCUCGCUCGCUGGACUGGAGGCUCGGGGCAGGUGUCUCCCCUCCCCCGCUUUGCUUUGCCCAUCUUCUGACCAUCCUCCUUCAGGGCCUCGACAGGACAAAGCAAGCUGUUGGCAAGAGCAGCACCUGUAGAUGUCCCCAGGAACCCUCAGGGCUCAGGGUAAGGUGCACUGCAGGGUGACACCUUCCAGUUUCUCCAUCUGGGAGUCUGAAUGACGGCAGGAGGAAGCAAGACACAGCACUCGGUGGGACCUGCUGGGUGCCGGCUCCAGCCGAUCUCCACUUACAAAUCCCUCACUCGCCCUGCCAGGCCCCGGGCAGGCCCCUGCCUCCACUUCCCAGCCCAGGAGGAAGCGGGCUGAUGGAGGUCAGUGCCUUGCCCAGGUCUCAGGGAGGCAGUGAGUCAAGGAGCUACCGGGGCUGUCUGAAAAGCCAUCGUUCCCUCCGUCCCUUCACCUCUUCCUGUUGUCUUAAACAGAAGGGGACUGGUAUUUAGGACCUGCUGACUGUGCCCUUGUUUGGGCAUAUUUUAGGAGCUGGUGCAAGUGAUCCUGCAGCCAUCUACAAGGAGGCUUCAUCUCCAGGUUCUUCAUCUCCAGCCUUCCCACCCGCCCCGGAAGCAUUCAGGUCAAAUCGCUGACACGCCAAUCACCGCUUCACCACCGAUCUGUCCCUCUAGCGACCUGGGGAUUUGGUUGCACAUGAUCAUGGCUGAUGGCUACAGGAAAGGUUCACCGCUGGCUCUGUGACACUUGUCACUGAAUGAUAACUUCCUUUCAUUAAAAAGUGUUACCUUCAGGCUGGGGCUGGGGCUGAGGCUCAGUGGCAGAGCGCUUGCCUUGCACGUAUGAGGCCCUG